GGAAAAGAAACCAACAGGGAUUGCCCUAGUAACGGCGAGUGAAGCGGCAACAGCUCAAAUUUGAAAUCUGGCCUCGGCCCGAGUUGUAAUUUGUAGAGGAAGCUUUUGGCGCGGCACCUUCUGAGUCCCCUGGAACGGGGCGCCAUAGAGGGUGAGAGCCCCGUAUAGUUGGAUGCCUAGCCUCUGUAAAGCUCCUUCGACGAGUCGAGUAGUUUGGGAAUGCUGCUCAAAAUGGGAGGUAAAUUUCUUCUAAAGCUAAAUACCGGCCAGAGACCGAUAGCGCACAAGUAGAGUGAUCGAAAGAUGAAAAGCACUUUGAAAAGAGGGUUAAAUAGCACGUGAAAUUGUUGAAAGGGAAGCGCUUGUGACCAGACUUGCGCCGGGCUGAUCAUCCGGUGUUCUCACCGGUGCACUCUGCCCGGCUCAGGCCAGCAUCGGUUCUCGCGGGGGGACAAAGGUCCCGGGAACGUAGCUCCUCCGGGAGUGUUAUAGCCCGGGGCGUAAUGCCCUCGCGGGGACCGAGGUUCGCGCUCUGCAAGGAUGCUGGCGUAAUGGUCACCAGCGACCCG
rnacentral:rRNA from 1 species